AGCCGAACUCAGCGGCAGGAGGGUGACCGCACUUUUAACCAGCGGCUGCUGUCAUGACGACCCAGGGGGGCCUGGUGGCCAACCGAGGCCGGCGGUUCAAAUGGGCCAUUGAGCUGAGUGGACCGGGAGGAGGGAGCAGGGGCCGAAGUGACCGGGGCAGUGGACAGGGAGACUCACUCUAUCCAGUCGGUUACUUGGACAAGCAAGUGCCUGAUACCAGCGUGCAAGAGACCCGACGGAUCCCUGGUGGAGAAGGUACAGAGGUAUUAGAUGUAACUGUAGCAUUUGGACCAGUCCUGUCUCACCUUACUCUCUGGAGUAGAGGUAAAGCAGCUGGUCACUACCUGAGUGUUUGAGAGCCACAAUGCUUAAGAUUUAUAUUACAGUAUCUUACAUAUAUGUUCCCUGACAUAAUUUCAGUGUGUCGGGAUAUUGUGUUACUUUUACCUUCAAAACAUCCCAAUCCUGCUAUCAUUUCUUACUGCCUUCAACUGUUACAUCACCAGCAGUAGACUAAUAAUCGAUCAACUGUCCCUCCAUCCCUCUAUUUAAAAUAAAGCAUGGUUUCUCAACCUCAGUACUGUUUUCUAUUUGGGGGCAAGUACUUCUUUUGCGGG
rnacentral:lncRNA from 1 species